GACGAACGCUGGCGGCGUGCUUAACACAUGCAAGUCGAACGGAAAGGCCCUGCUUUUGUGGGGUGCUCGAGUGGCGAACGGGUGAGUAACACGUGAGUAACCUGCCCUUGACUUUGGGAUAACUUCAGGAAACUGGGGCUAAUACCGGAUAGGAGCCCCUGCUGCAUGGUGGGGGUUGGAAAGUUUCGGCGGUUGGGGUUGGACCCGCGGCUUAUCAGCUCGUUGGUGGGGUAGGGGCAUACCAAGGCUUUGGCGGGUAGCCGGCCUGAGAGGGGAACCGGCCACAAGAGGACUGAGAUACGGCGCAGAAGCGUACGGGAGGCAGCGGUGGAGAGUAUUGCACAAUGGGCGGAAGCCAGAUGCAGAGACGCCGCGUGCGGGAUGACGGCCUUCGGGUUGUAAACCGCUUUCGCCUGUGACGAAGCGAGAGUGACGGUAAUGGGUAAGGAAGCAACGGCUAACUACGUG
rnacentral:rRNA from 1 species